AUGCAGAGCUGUCUGUCUUUAAGUAGAGAUAAAUUACUCUGAAGGGAAUGAAUCGAGUUUUCCCUUCAAAUCAAACAUUUGGU
rnacentral:pre_miRNA from 1 species